UUGACGAAUUGUGCAAAUAAGAAUUUUAUGCCAAAAAAAAACAAUAGAAUAUUCGCCGGUGAGCGCGCGCUGGCGCUGGCGCUGGAUAUGGCACGACUGGAGCGGAGUGCUAACCGGAAUACGGGUAAGUUGGUGGGAGUCGCGGACCGACCGUGUCGUGUUACAGGAAUUGUGUUAGUAAAUAUGUGUAAUUGUAAAUAUGAACAUAUGUAUGAUUGUGAAUGUAUGUUUAAUAUGGAUUUAAUUUGUAUAUUUGUUUGUAAGCAUGUGGGGAACUAUGGUUAUUGGGUAGAUUCGGAAUAUAGAUGUACCAGUAUAUGGAUGAUGCGUAGUGUGCAAGUGUAUAAAUAUUUAAGCAGAUGUACAAAACCGUAUAUUUGUUGUGCGCGGAAACAUGCAAGCGCUUAGAAAAUAUGCUUGUGGUUUGUGGGACAUGCAAGCAUUAACAAAUAUGUAUGUUUGUGGACUAUGCAAGCAUCAAAACAUACGUUUGUUGUAAGUGACGGUGAUUAUGCAGUGAUAGUGCGUUAGGACGGCAAGUCCAGUUGUGUUUUUCACUGGACACUUGUUGCACAUAUGAAUGAACACGUCCCAAGUAUGCCGGUAUGCAAUCGCGAACGGACAGAUUGGUUCUAUACUGCUAAUUCGUGCACUUUAUGUAUUUUUGGUUGAGCUGACCGGCGCGGUAUCAGCCGUAUACGAAUGGGGCCCUUGGAUCAGGGACGGAAAGCGGGAUGCGGAUUCCGUUUUUGGAAGUCGGCGGACAGACCGACAGAAAAAACCAAUAUGGCGAGUCCAACGCCAGGAACAAGCUGGGGCGAACGGAUGGCUGGCACAAAACGAGGAUGAGUAUGGAUGGAGGUGCCUCAAAAGUAUCCGGCUCGAAGGACCAUGUAAAAGUCGGGGGGCGUCGGGGAUAAAAUGUCCAAACUCCAGUACAAGAACAAAAUGGCGGGAUUUUCAGGUUUCAAAGUGCUCUUCUGCACUUACAGCGCUCUGGUCCUUAACUAGCGUGUGGGAGAGAGAGGGCGCUGACGUCAGCCGCGCUGUGCUAGCAGAUGUUGCUAGCGAAUGUUGCUAGCAAACGUUGCCAGCCUGCCAUGCAGGCUACUAGCAGUGCUGCCACGUCAACAACGCGUAUUGUCCUUCUGUUGAUCAAGGCGGGAUCCUAGUGGUCCGGCCUGAUGUUUGGGUGGACACUCGUGGUCCGUUUAAUUAAAGGCACUUGUGGCCCUGCUGCUUCAAGGGACCCUCGUGGUCCAAUAGGUGCGAGUAACAGCGGUUGUCCUGGUUGCGCGAGUGAAACGACACAGGACGUUUGUAGUGACCAAGGAUACCAGAUGGCAAUCCUUGGGAGCAUGUAGUCAACGUGGUAGUCGGCGUGAUAAAGAUCAGCGGUUCCUGACCCAAAGUAACAGGCUGUUCGUUGGUAAUUUGCAUACUGAUUUUAUUCUUACAAAUCAUGGCUUAUAUAGCCAUGCUUAAAACUAGCAUAUGACUAUUUAUAUUUACUAUUUCUAUGUGUUGCGUAAUCUCUGUUGGCUAUGCUUGAGGCAUAUAUAGACAUUGUUUGUCAAUUGCAUUUGAUUCUAAUAA